GGCUGGUCUGAGUGCAGUGCUGUUUACAACUAUUGAUCACAACCAGUUACAGAUUUCUUUGUUCCUUCUCCACUCCCACUGCUUCACUUGACCAGCCUUUA
ensembl:Y_RNA Y_RNA Y RNA